UCAAGUUAUUAAGGGUGCAGGGCGGAUGCCUUGGCACUAGGAGCCGAUGAAGGACGUGAUAAGCUGCGAUAAGCUUCGGGGAGUUGCACGUAAACUUUGAUCCGAAGAUUUCCGAAUGAGGAAACUCACUUAGAGUAAUGUCUAAGUAUCAUUAAGUGAAUACAUAGCUUAAUGAGGGGAACUCAGGGAACUGAAACAUCUAAGUACCUGAAGGAAGAGAAAGAAAUUCGAUUCCGUAAGUAGCGGCGAGCGAACGCGGAUUAGCCCAAACCAAUAAAGUUUUCUUUAUUGGGGUUGCGGACAUAUCAUAACGAAGAGGUAUCGUAAUUGAAGAGGUUUGGAAAGACCCACCACAGAAGGUAAUAGUCCUGUAUGUUAAACGAGAAGACUUUAGAUAUGAUCCAGAGUACCACGGGACACGUGAAACCCUGUGGGAAGCAGGAGGGACCACCCUCCAAGGCUAAAUACUACCUAGUGACCGAUAGCGUAUAGUACCGUGAGGGAAAGGUGAAAAGAACCCCGAGAGGGGAGUGAAAUAGAACCUGAAACCCUGCACUUACAAGCUGUGGAAGCACAUUUCUUGUGUGACCGCGUACUUUUUGUAGAACGGGCCAACGAGUUACGUUAAGUAGCAAGGUUAAGCACUUAAGGUGUGGAGCCGUAGCGAAAGCGAGUUUUAACUGAGCGUUCAGUUACUUGACGUAGACCCGAAACCGGGCGACCUACCCAUGAGCAGGAUGAAGCGAAAGUAAAAUUUCGUGGAGGUCCGAACCCACGAGCGUUGAAAAGCUCGGGGAUGACUUGUGGGUAGCGGUGAAAUUCCAAUCGAGCCCGGAGAUAGCUGGUUCUCCCCGAAAUAGCUUUAGGGCUAGCCUCAAGGUGAGAGAUACGGAGGUAGAGCACUGAAUGUCCUAGGGGGUAUUGCACCUACCGAAGACUAUCAAACUCCGAAUGCCGUCAUCUUAUACUUGGGAGUCAGACUGUGGGUGAUAAGAUUCAUAGUCGAAAGGGCAACAGCCCAGAUCGUCAGCUAAGGUCCCUAAAUGUAAGUUAAGUGGUAAAGGAUGUGGGAUUGCACAGACAACCAGGAUGUUGGCUUAGAAGCAGCCACUCAUUCAAAGAGUGCGUAAUAGCUCACUGGUCGAGUGAUCCUGCGCCGAAGAUUUCCGGGGCUAAAACUUACUACCGAAGCUACGGCAUCAGUAAUGAUGGGUAGGGGAGCUUCCCAUACGGGUUGAAGCAUGACCGUAAGGACAUGUGGACAGUAUGGGAGUGAGAAUGUUGGCAUGAGUAGCGAGAUGUGGGUGAGAAUCCCACAGGCCGUAAACCCAAGGUUUCCAGGGGAAGGUUCGUCCGCCCUGGGUUAGUCGGGACCUAAGCUGAGGCCGAAAGGCGUAGGUGAUGGACAACAGGUUGAUAUUCCUGUACUACCGAUAACCGUUUGAGAGAAGGGAUGACACAGUAGGAUAAGCUAAGCACACUGUUGGUUAUGUGUGCCCAAGCAUUGAGGCAGUCAAAGUAGGCAAAUCCGCUUUGAUAAUGCUGGGAUGUGAUGGGGAGCGAAAUUUAGUAGCGAAGUAGCUGAUUUCACACUGUCAAGAAAAGUCUCUAUCGAGGUUAAAGGUACCCGUACCGCAAACCGACACAGGUGGGUGAGGAGAGUAUCCUAAGGCCAGCGAGAGAACUGUUGUUAAGGAACUCGGCAAAAUGACCCCGUAACUUAGGGAUAAGGGGUGCCACCAUCAGGUGGCCGCAGAGAAUAGGCCCAAGCGACUGUUUACCAAAAACAUAGGUUUCUGCUAAGUCGCAAGACGAUGUAUAGGAGCUGACGCCUGCCCGGUGCUGGAAGGUUAAGGGGAUCUGUUAGAGCAAUCGAAGCAGUGAACUUAAGCCCCAGUAAACGGCGGCCGUAACUAUAACGGUCCUAAGGUAGCGAAAUUCCUUGUCGGGUAAGUUCCGACCCGCACGAAAGGCGUAACGAUUUGGGCACUGUCUCAACAACAGACUCGGUGAAAUUGUAAUUCCGGUGAAGAUGCCGGAUACCUGCGACAGGACGGAAAGACCCCAUGGAGCUUUACUGUAGCUUGACAUUGGGUCUUGGUACUACAUGUACAGGAUAGGUGGGAGGCUUUGAAACCAGGACGCCAGUUUUGGCGGAGCCAUCCUUGGGAUACCACCCUUGUAGUACUGGGACUCUAACCAUAGGCCAUGAAUCUGGUCUUGGGACACUGUCAGGUGGGCAGUUUGACUGGGGCGGUCGCCUCCCAAAAGGUAACGGAGGCGCUCAAAGGUUCUCUCAGUACGGUCGGAAAUCGUACGUAGAGUGUAAAGGCAAAAGAGAGCUUGAUUGCAAGACAUACAGGUCGAGCAAGGAUGAAAAUCGGACUUAGUGAUCCGGUGGUUCUGCGUGGAAGGGCCAUCGCUCAACGGAUAAAAGCUACCCUGGGGAUAACAGGCUUAUCUCCCCCAAGAGUCCACAUCGACGGGGAGGUUUGGCACCUCGAUGUCGGCUCAUCACAUCCUGGGGCUGUAGUAGGUCCCAAGGGUUGGGCUGUUCGCCCAUUAAAGUGGUACGCGAGCUGGGUUCAGAACGUCGUGAGACAGUUCGGUCCCUAUCCGUCGCAGGCGUAGGAAAUUUGAGAAGACCUGUCCUUAGUACGAGAGGACCGGGAUGGACGUACCUCUGGUGUACCAGUUGUUCUGCCAAGGGCAUGGCUGGGUAGCUAUGUACGGAAUGGAUAAGCGCUGAAAGCAUCUAAGCGCGAAGCCAACUUCAAGAUAAGAUUUCCCACCGCAAGGGUAAGACCCCAGAAAGACUAUCUGGUUGAUAGGUCGAAGGUGUAAGUGCAGCAAUGUAUUUAGCUUAUCGAUACUAAUAGGUCGAGGACUUGACCAA
rnacentral:rRNA from 1 species